CAACUUCUCCUUCAUGCCUGAUAAUGAGGUUGUAAUGGCUCAGCAUCGCCAUUGCUUGGAAACUGUUUACCAGUGCAUUAACGAUCAUAUGACCGGUAAGGACAAGUACUGUGUGUUAUUACCUCACAUUCGCCUCUGAUAGAUUCCUAUUUCUUGGCUUUGGCUUAAGAACUUUGCAAUAGAGCAAUUAAAUGUUGGAGUUUCUUAACUUUGUAUCUUAAGUCACUUUUUUCUACUUGAAACCAUUGCAUUAUAAAAAUAAUAAGAACUCCUAAUAUGGAUCUUUGCAAUAAUCAUGCUCUUUCUCCGUCACGUGCCUGUGUAACUGUGUUCUUGUAAACAUUUUUGGGCUUUCAAAGAAGUGUGAUACGCCCAAAUAUUUUAUAUUUUCUAAACAAUUUUUAUGAAGAAUUCAUGUAGGUCAUUUUUCUAACGCACAAGGCAAAAUUCCAAAAUUAUUUACAAAACCCAAAAGCUUCUAACAACAAAAAUGGAGUUGAUUAAAAACAGAGGAAAUACAGCAGAAUAUGGGAGUCAAAGACUGAAACAAUAAGGAAAGAUCCUGAAAUAACAAUGUUAUCAGUAUAGAAACUGUACAAACAUGGAAAAUAAAAGAGUCCCUGGAGCUAAAAUUUAUGCACAGACCAGAAGCUAAGUGAGCUGAAUCGACAGACGUACUUUUAUUUACAAUGCAGGGGGGCUCGACUCAAGAGGACAUAGAAAGCUACCUAAACAGUCUUGUUACUAACACUCCUAUACCUUUAGAAAGUGUAUAGUAAGAAGACUACUUAAAACUACCCAAAGAAUCAGAUUUUGAUUCCACCAUUCUAUAUGCAUCUGUAUUUGUUUUUGUUUUUACUAGUAUAUAAUAUAUAUAUAUAUGCUUUUUAUUUGUACACCAUGCGUAUUUCUACCAGUUUCCAGUGUGAAACCAUUGGUAUAUAUAUAUGACGAGGGACUCCAGAAGUACCAACCCUGAAACUUCCAUUGUCCUUUACCCUUUUUGACUUCUUCAGCGAGCAAUACUACUUUACUUACGACCUGUAACAACAGUAAUGUGGUGAGAUCGAACACAUUUGCAAGUAAUGAAACAAAAAGGAGCAUCUGUAAGUACCAAGCUUUAACCUUAAUAUGCAAAAAUUAAAUAAUGCGCAAAGCUUAAACAGGAACCCUGCCACUACCCAGAGUAGCAACUUCUUCCCCUUCUGCAAGGAUUACUAACUACAAAACCGAUGAAUAACAUCAAGGUCUACCAUCUCCAAGCCAAUUUAAAUCGUUAAGAUAAUCAAUACAUACUUACGCCCAUCUAGCUUUCACCCUGUUGUUUGAUCAGAACCACUACUCUGCAUAUGUUGAGGAGUCUGGACAAUGACAUGGGACUGCGUUGGUGAGGGACCUGCUAUAGCUGAAGGGUAAGGUGAUUGAAUAUGACUUCCUGGAACUGAAUACCCUUGUAUCGUAGUGUAACCGGGGAUAUUCUGACUCAGUUGUCCGUAUUGGUAGCCAGGUGAGUUAACUGCACCAGGUACUCCAUAAACCUGAAGGUACUGUUGCCCUGUGUAAGGACCAUAUAAGCCCUACAACACCAUAAAGAGAAGAUAUGAGAUAUAUAACCAAAGUCAAAAUAGUUUCAAAUAAACCAAGAAGAGACUUUAACAAUUUCAAAAGUCUACCUGAGACUGUGAGUACAUGUAUUCAGGUCCAUAUGGUGUAACCCUGAGAGGGAACCAAAAAUAUUAGCUAAAAUUAGAGACAGAUGAGUAUAGUUUUUGGUAGGAAGUACUGUGUGUUAUUACCUCACAUUCGCCUCUGAUAGAUUCCUAUUUCUUGGCUUUGGCUUAAGAACUUUGCAAUAGAGCAAUUAAAUGUUGGAGUUUCUUAACUUUGUAUCUUAAGUCACUUUUUUCUACUUGAAACCAUUGCAUUAUAAAAAUAAUAAGAACUCCUAAUAUGGAUCUUUGCAAUAAUCAUGCUCUUUCUCCGUC
rnacentral:lncRNA from 1 species